rnacentral:tRNA from 1 species
AAUAGCUCAGUUGGUAGAGCAUCCGGCUGUUAACCGGCAGGUCGCAGGUUCAAGUCCUGCUU